rnacentral:rRNA from 1 species
AUUGAACGCUGGCGGCAUGCCUUACACAUGCAAGUCGAACGGCAGCACGGGAGCAAUCCUGGUGGCGAGUGGCGAACGGGUGAGUAAUAUAUCGGAACGUGCCCAGUCGUGGGGGAUAACGUAGCGAAAGCUACGCUAAUACCGCAUACGAUCUAUGGAUGAAAGCGGGGGAUCGCAAGACCUCGCGCGAUUGGAGCGGCCGAUAUCAGAUUAGGUAGUUGGUGAGGUAAAGGCUCACCAAGCCAACGAUCUGUAGCUGGUCUGAGAGGACGACCAGCCACACUGGAACUGAGACACGGUCCAGACUCCUACGGGAGGCAGCAGUGGGGAAUUUUGGACAAUGGACGCAAGUCUGAUCCAGCCAUUCCGCGUGCAGGAUGAAGGCUCUCGGGUUGUAAACUGCUUUUGUACGGAACGAAAGGUUUCUAUUAAUACUAGGAGCUCAUGACGGUACCGUAAGAAUAAGCACCGGCUAACUACGU